GACGAACGCUGGCGGCGUGCUUAACACAUGCAAGUCGAACGGAAAGGCCCUGCUUUUGUGGGGUGCUCGAGUGGCGAACGGGUGAGUAACACGUGAGUAACCUGCCCUUGACUUUGGGAUAACUUCAGGAAACUGGGGCUAAUACCGGAUAGGAGCUCCUGCUGCAUGGUGGGGGUUGGAAAGUUUCGGCGGUUGGGGAUGGACUCGCGGCUUAUCAGCUUGUUGGUGGGGUAGUGGCUUACCAAGGCUUUGACGGGUAGCCGGCCUGAGAAGGUGACCGGCCACAUUGGGACUGAGAUACGGCCCAGACUCCUACGGGAGGCAGCAGUGGGGAAUAUUGCACAAUGGGCGGAAGCCUGGUGCAGCAACGCCGCGUGCGGGAUGACGGCCUUCGGGUUGUAAACCGCUUUCGCCUGUGACGAAGCGUGAGUGACGGUAAUGGGUAAAGAAGCACCGGCUAACUACGUG
rnacentral:rRNA from 1 species